GGGGCCUGAGUCCUUCUGG
rnacentral:miRNA from 1 species